UAUGUUAUCUUUGAGGGUUUC
rnacentral:piRNA from 1 species